UACGUAGGGUGCAAGCGUUAAUCGGAAUUACUGGGCGUAAAGCGUGCGCAGGCGGCUAUGUAAGACAGAUGUGAAAUCCCCGGGCUCAACCUGGGAAUUGCAUUUGUGACUGCAUGGCUAGAGUGUGUCAGAGGGAGGUGGAAUUCCACGUGUAGCAGUGAAAUGCGUAGAUAUGUGGAGGAACACCAAUGGCGAAGGCAGCCUCCUGGGAUAACACUGACGCUCAUGCACGAAAGCGUGGGGAGCAAACAGGAUUAGAUACCCCGGUAGUCC
rnacentral:rRNA from 1 species